GAUGAAUAACGUAGCGAAAUGCGAUAAGUAGUGUGAAUUGCAGAAUUCAGUGAAUCAUCGAAUCUUUGAACGCACAUUGCGCCUCCUGGCAUUCCGGGAGGCAUGCCUGUUCGAGCGUCAUCAAACCCCAUCGUGCAAAUGAAUUAUUUUUUUUGCGCGGAAGUGACGAUUGAGCGAGAAUAACAAAUCCUCUCGCACCUCGUCGAAAUGAUUGCGGGCGGAAUUUGGGAUCGGGUUCCUCGGCGUAGUGUAUCAAUGCAUAUUUAUGCAACUUGCCGCGGAGUUGAGCCUGACCCACGCGUUCUCGCCGUACAAACACCUCAUUACUUUACAAGUUUUUGACCUCGGAUCAGGUAGGGAUACCCGCUGAACUUAAGCAUAUCAAUAAGCGGAGGA
rnacentral:misc_RNA from 1 species